GCUGGCUUCCUCUCCUUCAGGUCAGGUUCACCUUCCUUUUCCCGUCCCUCGGUCGGUGAGGAGGCUUGCUCAGCGAGCGAGGCGAGAACCCGACACGACAGCCCUGUGUCGUCUGUCGCAGCUGUCGCUUCGGCACACCCGACCCAGGAAGCCCUCUUCCCGUGGCAAUCCACUCCCUCCUUCCCUCCUCCCCAUCCUCUGGCGCCUUCCUAGAGUGACAUCCCUUGCUGAAAAAAUGACGCGGACCUCAGCCCACCGGCCUCGCCACUACCAUUGGACCCCAAGCCUCUCACCUGGCUCCGAGCGACCUUGAAGGGUGUGGCAUUCACCAUGUGCUGCUUCCGGAUGCCACUCCAUCUGGUCCGGUAGUCCACGAUGUGGCAGGGGGGGAGGACGUACUCAUCAUAAAGCACAUCUCCGUGGUAGUUGACGAUGCUACAUCG